rnacentral:misc_RNA from 1 species
UCCGGCUUAUCACCGGCAGUCCCUUUAGAGUGCCCAACCAAAUGAUGGCAACUAAAGGCGAGGGUUGCGCUCGUUGCGGGACUUAACCCAACAUCUCACGACACGAGCUGACGACAGCCAUGCAGCACCUGUGUUCCCGCCAGCCGAACUGAAGGACGCCGUCUCCGGCGCCCACACGGGACAUGUCAAGGGCUGGUAAGGUUCUGCGCGUUGCUUCGUAUUAAACCACAUGCUCCACCGCUUGUGCGGGCCCCCGUCAAUUCAUUUGAGUUUUAGUCUUGCGACCGUACUCCCCAGGCGGGGUACUUAAUGCGUUAGCUUCGGCACUGCAGGGGUCAAUACCCGCAACACCUAGUACCCAUCGUUUACGGCGUGGACUAC